rnacentral:lncRNA from 1 species
GACGAUUAUAAUUUCAUCUAUUGCCACGUCCACAUCCAUUGAUAACUUCAUGGUAAUAAUUUUGUCUUCUUUCAGACUUAUCAGAUACUGCUAUCACAUUCUCUAAAGGGAAUGAGAAUGAAGCAAAUUCAAUGGGACGGAUUUCCAAUUCUUUGCCCACAAUCAUACAUGAAUUUAAUCAUGGCAAGACAUAGAACUUUUACCACUUCACGUGGUUA